rnacentral:rRNA from 1 species
GAAUACAUCGGAAUCUGCCCAGUCGUGGGGGAUAACUUAGGGAAACUUAAGCUAAUACCGCAUACGACCUACGGGUGAAAGAGGGGGAUCGCAAGACCUCUCGCGAUUGGAUGAGCCGAUGUCGGAUUAGCUUGUUGGCGGGGUAACGGCCCACCAAGGCGACGAUCCGUAGCUGGUCUGAGAGGAUGAUCAGCCACACUGGAACUGAGACACGGUCCAGACUCCUACGGGAGGCANCAGUGGGGAAUAUUGGACAAUGGGCGCAAGCCUGAUCCAGCCAUGCCGCGUGAGUGAAGAAGGCCCUCGGGUUGUAAAGCUCUUUUGUCCGGAAAGAAAAGCACUCGGCCAAUACCCGGGUGUCCUGACGGUACCGGAAGAAUAAGCACCGGCUAACUUCGUGCCAGCAGCCGCGGUAAUACGAAGGGUGCAAGCGUUACUCGGAAUUACUGGGCGUAAAGCGUGCGUAGGUGGUUCGUUAAGUCUGAUGUGAAAGCCCUGGGCUCNACCUGGGAAUUGCAUUGGAUACUGGCGGGCUAGAGUGCGGUAGAGGAUGGCGGAAUUCCCGGUGUAGCAGUGAAAUGCGUANAGAUCGGGAGGAACAUCCGUGGGCGAA